ensembl:lncRNA
GAACAACUUAGCUUAGUUGUCCUUAGCUGGGUGCUCUAAAGGCAGUCUUUUGCACUGUUUCAGUGACUUUCACUUCACCAGUUCUUCUAGGGGCUGGCAUCAACACUGUGAAUGGAGCCAUGCUUCGGCCUUUUUUCAUAGCAAAUCACACGGGAACUGGGAACUCCAAAUACAGCCUUAUUUGCACCCAGACAUUCAUUUCUGGAGAGAUUUUUUCAGUUUGCUGUGAUCAGACCCAGAGAAUACAGGAGGCGUUAUGGCAGCCCCCCCCAGCGUUUCUGUGCAGGCACUCUGCUGUACACUGUGGCUGCAGACAAGCUGCUGCGUGGUACAGGUCUCUUUUGCAGGCAAGACUCCGGUCCCACCACCUGCCUGUGAGAUGUUCUCAGUGGCUUUCCUAUGAUUUAUCCCCCAGUCUGGAUCAUAGUUUUCAUUAUAUGCUGGCCCAGCAAUACAAAGGUUUGUUGAAGUCACAAGCCUCCUUCCCUCCCUGUGCAUCUCUGCUCUCCCAUCCUGUUGAAAUAUGGGGGACGUUGGAGGGACAGCUUCUCUUCCAUGCAGGUCCCUUCCCCAGGGCAGAAACACUUUGCAUGUCCCAUUGGGACCCUUAUCCCUUCUCUGUGGGUCACUGGUGAGGGAAAGCUGGGUCCGUACCCAUGUAUUCCUUGGCACAAAUAGCAGUUGGGAGCAAUUUUGUUUAGUUUUAUUGCUGACCAUGAGAAACGAUGGACCGUUGGUCUAAUGCCUAAUAGUUGGGGCUGCCUGGCAGUGGCUGUGUGAUCCUCUCUCUCCCCACCAUUGCCAUCCUGUGCACAGCUGCCCCUGUGACUUUGGUAAUCAAUUUUUUAUUGGCUUGUUAAAUAAAGAGCUGGCACUGAGCCAUUGGCAAGUUGUAAAGCUGGCCAAAUAAUUGGAAUAAUAAUUCACUCGCGUGGAAAGUGAUCCGUUUAAAGGUGUUGUGUAUUUCCUGGAUGGAAAUUAAUCUCUUCUAAGGGUUUGG